CUUAAAGUACAUAAAUGCUUGUUUUCUUCAUUUAUAUCUAUGUUUCUAAGGUAUUUUUGCUUUUUUUAGCUGGAAGGAAGCCUGAGGCUGAGACGGGAGACAUUGCAUAGAGACCUUUUGCCAAGUAGUGCCAGAGCUGAGGACAUCAUAGACUGGAGUAGGGCGGGGACAUAGAACUUGUUCGUUAGGAAGUCUAGAUGGACUUUUGAUGGAGCGGGAACCCGUAACAUAUCUACGUUGCGAGUCCUGUUCACUCGCGGACGCAAGGGCUUAGCUGGGGUUUUAGAGCCGUCUACAUCCCGAAAAGUUGGAGACUACAUGAGACUUUGACAGUUGGCGGGAAACCAUCAUCAACUGGCGAAAAGCCAGUAAAAAGAUGGCCAUAAAACAGUGUCCUCUGAUUCGCAUUGAGUUCUUUCUUUCAUAUUGGAUGACCUAUCUUUUUUAUUGUUUAAAUCAAUUUGUCUUUGAAUGCUCUUUAAGAAAAGGUAUGGUUAUGAGGGUGUC